rfam:Gordonia sp. NB4-1Y contig_136, whole genome shotgun sequence.
CGGGAUGUGGCGCAGCUUGGUAGCGCAUCCGCUUUGGGAGCGGAGGGUCGCAGGUUCAAAUCCUGUCAUCCCGA